rnacentral:rRNA from 1 species
AGUCGACGCACAGCGAAAGGUGCUUGCACCUUUCAAGUGAGUGGCGAACGGGUGAGUAACACGUGGACAACCUGCCUCAAGGCUGGGGAUAACAUUUGGAAACAGAUGCUAAUACCGAAUGAAACUUAGUGUCGCAUGAUACGAAGUUAAAAGGCGCUUUGGCGUCACCUAGAGAUGGAUCCGCGGUGCAUUAGUUAGUUGGUGGGGUAAAGGCCUACCAAGACAAUGAUGCAUAGCCGAGUUGAGAGACUGAUCGGCCACAUUGGGACUGAGACACGGCCCAAACUCCUACGGGAGGCUGCAGUAGGGAAUCUUCCACAAUGGGCGAAAGCCUGAUGGAGCAACGCCGCGUGUGUGAUGAAGGCUUUCGGGUCGUAAAGCACUGUUGUAUGGGAAGAACAGCUAGAAUAGGGAAUGAUUUUAGUUUGACGGUACCAUACCAGAAAGGGACGGCUAAAUACGUGCCAGCAGCCGCGGUAAUACGUAUGUCCCGAGCGUUAUCCGGAUUUAUUGGGCGUAAAGCGAGCGCAGACGGUUGAUUAAGUCUGAUGUGAAAGCCCGGAGCUCAACUCCGGAAUGGCAUUGGAAACUGGUUAACUUGAGUGCAGUAGAGGUAAGUGGAACUCCAUGUGUAGCGGUGGAAUGCGUAGAUAUAUGGAAGAACACCAGUGGCGAAGGCGGCUUACUGGACUGUAACUGACGUUGAGGCUCGAAAGUGUGGGUAGCAAACAGGAUUAGAUACCCUGGUAGUCCACACCGUAAACGAUGAACACUAGGUGUUAGGAGGUUUCCGCCUCUUA